rnacentral:lncRNA from 1 species
CUGAGGUUCAAAGAGGAAGUAACCUGCCACAGACACAGACUGUGAGGGACAGAUGUGAGAGCUUCUCUGGGGCAGAACCAGAGGCUGGCUUCCACAUUUCUCUAGGCUCAAGUACAGAGAUCAGCUCAGGACCAACAUUACCUUCAGACCCCUUGUUGGAUAUCCAUAUCUUCCCGACUUGCUGCAUGAAGAAGGGGUUUCCCCAGCUGCCUAUGAGAGGCCAGUAGGAAGUGCUGCUGUCCCCGUGUUCAGCCUUGUGUAUCAGGUCUGUGGCUUCUCCAAGGCUCACUGAGGCAAUUGGAAGGAUCCUGAGGUUUUGAAAUUGCUACAGGCUUUGCUUAGGUUGGUAAGCCAGCUGACAAAGUAAAGGCAGGCAUGGGGUGGGUGGUCACCAUGGUCUCUUUUGGCCACAUCUGAUGCCUAGACCCCUCAUUCCUGCUUAUAAGCCCACAGUGCCCACUCCCAUGUGAACAACUAGCUCGUACAUUUCCCCAUUCGGCCGGUGGUGAAAACUGUGCUAUUUUAAGCCCACAUGGAAGUAUGUCUUUUUUUUUUUUUUUUUUUAAAUAAGGACCAUCUGCUACCGGCCCCAGCCCAGAUGAUACAGUUGGAGCCUACCCACAGCAUCCUCUCCCGCCUUCAGACGGUUCCAGGAACGAGAGUGCUACCUUCUGCCUGCUUCACAUCAAAUGCAUCUAUAUUUCUGAGUGCAUCACAGAGAACACCACUGCUCUCCAGUGUCCUCACUUUGGAACUCUCAACUGAACUUCUGGGUUGCACCUCCAGCUCUCUUCACUUUCUGUGAUUUGGGACUGUUCUGUCUGUACAAAUGCAAAUCAUGAGACUCCCCUUGGGGGAGAAGAGAGAGUCACAGAGUCAGACUGUCAUGCCCAGAGAGUGGCUGGCUCCUACCCCCGGAAAUGGGCCUCUUACUGUGACUGCCCUGGGGCCAGCCGAACAGCUGCGUUGGCCGAGCAGGAAGUGGUGAACAGGCUGGACCCUGUUCCAGCACGUUGUGGGGGAAAGAAAGAAAAAAGAAAAAAAAAGUUCCAUCAGAGAAACUGCACGCUAGCUUAGGCCAAGGCUGAUCACUGACCUCCUGUGUGGUACAAUCGAUCUGGACCAACCACUUCCCCC